UACGGAGGGGGCUAGCGUUGUUCGGAAUUACUGGGCGUAAAGCGCACGUAGGCGGAUUGGAAAGUUGGGGGUGAAAUCCCAGGGCUCAACCCUGGAACUGCCUUCAAAACUCCCAGUCUGGAGGUCGAGAGAGGUGAGUGAAAUUCCGAGUGUAGAGGUGAAAUUCGUAGAUAUUCGGAGGAACACCAGUGGCGAAGGCGGCUCACUGGCUCGAUACUGACGCUGAGGUGCGAAAGCGUGGGGAGCAAACAGG
rnacentral:rRNA from 1 species